CCAUGAUGGUGUUUGGCAUGAUGUAUGAUGACUAUUUGGACAUGAAUGAACUCUCACAAACCAAUUCCAAUCAUCAAAUCACUGAUUAAAUGGACAGUUGACCAACAGUUGACUUUUAGGGUUUCUGGCUGACUGAACCUCUUCUGGUGAAUUCCAAACCCUAAUUCCUUGAGAACUUGACUUCAAAUGAUGUCCCAAGUUGUAUGGACUCUUGAUUAUUGAUCAUGG
rnacentral:lncRNA from 1 species